GAAACAUUCCCUCCACUACCACGGCUGGUCUCAUACCGGAGAAAUGUUGUGGAGGUCCUGGCAUUUUGUUCCACAUGUGCUUCCUGAUGACGGACAGCUCGGGAAGUGAUGGGCGUGUAGGUGUGCCACCUGCUCAGCUCCUGUAUUAAACCCCAGAAAUCCUGCGGUAAGCAGAACCGAGGGACACCUCUGAAGGCCUUUGGGAUGUCCCUGCUGUGACAAAGGCCCUGGAAAUAGAUGAUGGCAACUUCUUGACCUUUGCCCCGCUGCAGUGCCCCCUCUAGGCAGGCCAGGGCAGCUGUAAACACCGGUCCUAUCACCAUGGAGGCCUCUUUCUCUUCCCACUGCCCAUACAGCCAGGGAAGUGGACCCAGAUCCGCCACACCAGCCUCAGCCCCGACCUGCCUUUGGGAGCUCUGGGCCCACAGAGCUGUGUGCACCGUGGCACCUAGUUCCCCUUGAAGGAAUGAAGCAAACG